AUUGGUUUUAGGCCUUAGUUUUGUUGUGCAAUCAUAAAGAUAAAUACUAGGUUUGUCACGAAUAUAUGGUAAGAUAGACCAUGAGUUAAAAAUCUAAUUCUUUAUGCACUUUGCAUUACUGGCUAUUUAGAAAAUUUUCUCUGAUUCAAUAAUAUAGUUGGUUUUAGCUGCAGCAAAAAGUUGGUGUUAUAUGGUUUUAACCUGAGAGAUAGCAGAUAUGAAUUCAAUAGUUGUUUUCACUUGCCUUUGUACCUCAGUCCCUUCUUCUUUCACACUUUCUGUUGCCGCCUAAAUUAAUUUUCCCAUGCCUUAAUUUCAUAGA
rnacentral:misc_RNA from 1 species